rnacentral:rRNA from 1 species
ACGUAGGUGGCGAGCGUUGUCCGGAAUUACUGGGCGUAAAGGGCGCGCAGGCGGCGCGUUAAGUCCGGGGUGAAAUCCCACGGCUCAACUGUGGGGGGGACCUUGGAUACUGGCGUGCUGGAGUGCGGGAGAGGGAAGCGGAAUUCCACGUGUAACGGUGAAAUGUAUAGAUAUGUGGAGGAACACCGGUGGCGAAGGCGGCUUCCUGGACCGUAACUGACGCUGAGGCGCGAAAGCUGGGGGAGCGAACAG